GACGAACGCUGGCGGCGUGCCUAACACAUGCAAGUCGAGCGGGGACUUGUUGAGGAAGUCUUCGGAUGGAAUCGAUAAGUUCUAGCAGCGGACGGGUGAGUAACGCGUGAGCAACCUGCCCUCCACAGGGGGAUAACGCACCGAAAGGUGCACUAAUACCGCAUAAGACCACGUUUCUGACAUGGGGAUGAGGUCAAAGGAGCAAUCCGGUGGAAGAUGGGCUCGCGUCUGAUUAGCUAGUUGGUGAGGUAACGGCCCACCAAGGCGACGAUCAGUAGCCGACCUGAGAGGGUGAUCGGCCACAUUGGAACUGAGAGACGGUCCAAACUCCUACGGGAGGCAGCAGUGGGGAAUAUUGGGCAAUGGGCGAAAGCCUGACCCAGCAACGCCGCGUGAAGGAAGAAGGUUUUCGGAUCGUAAACUU
rnacentral:rRNA from 1 species